rnacentral:lncRNA from 1 species
UGCUAUUUCUCCAAAAUGUUAUAUUCCUUAUCGUACAAUAGUCAAUAGGUACAAACAUACGCUACAUACAGACACACCUGAAGCCACAAGCUAUGUUGUUUACCCUCCCUUUCCCUCUAAACUCUACACCCAAAGAUACGUUUCCUUGUAGUAUUCAUCAUUCCUGUCCCCUUGAUGCAUCCUCACAAUUCACAAAUCAAAGUCCAUACUUGAGUACCUAAUGUGAACUUUUCCAUUAGUGAUCGGCAUGGUUUGAAUUUUGGAAAAAGCAAACUAAAAUCAAAUCAAGCCAGUAAAAUGGUUAACUUACCGAAACACCAUUUUUAGCAAAACUAGUUUGGUAGCAGCGAAAUUGAUGAAGUUGGAAGUUUCUGCUUUCAGCAUAUAUAACUCGUUGUUGCUUCCUCCUUUUAAGGGAGUAGCCAAUAGGGCUACAUCAGCCACAUGAUAUAGGUGACAUUUAUUUCAAGCUGUAACAUUGCAUUUCCACAAAUAAAAAUUCUCAGAAAUUAUAAAUAAGAAUGUUAUUUAUAGUACAUUAAAAAAAAUGCGACUUUAAUAUUCUUAGGAAUAUUUUUUUAAAUUAAAAUUGUUAGACGAAAAAAGUAAAUUAGAAAGAAAAGAGUAGAAAUGGAAAUUAUAAAUUGAGUUAAAAAAACAACUUCUCAUACUCCUAGGGGAUUAUAACUCUCACCCCUCACCAUUAAAAUAAAAAUGAAGUAAAACAAAGAAAUCUCUAUUCAGCAGGUAUCAUUAUCAAUACCAAAUUUGCAUCAAUAAGAAUCGCAUUAUACGUGUACUGAAAAUUCUACAGAGCACAAUAAAUCACCAAACACAAUAUGAAUCAUAAAACUACAAUAUCAGUCAAAAUUACAUUUCCAUUUUUACAUUUCGAGAAUAAAUUUUUAAAUCUUUAAAAAAACACACUCGUAGGGUUCAAUUAACGACGGUAGUAUUAUUUUUUGUGAUGUGGUCUUCCCGUCAUCUUUUCUAACGAAUAUUUCUAUAAACAAACCUUCAUUAUCAUAUUAUGUCAUCCACUGAAAUCUACUGACAAGUAUUAAGCAAACUAUUUAAGUUCUUUACACAACCUCAAAAUCUGAACUCUGAAGUGAGAAGAUCCAAAAGGCACAAGCUGCUGCAGGAUUUGAAAUUCAUCAGAAAAGCUGAACAACUAAACAACUAACAAAUAAAAGCUCCUAUGAAGAAGUCAAGUAAUUGAUCAACAGAGCAGAAGCAGUCAAUAAUACCAGUACCACACUAAGUACCAAUCAAAUUAAGAAUACUUGAACAUUUGCAAUAUCCAAUCAACCAAUGUUAUCAACUCAAGAGUUUAUAUAAACUCAUGAAGGCUCUGUAAAAUCUAAGAAUUUACUUAAUAUAAGAAAUAUAACUGAUAGAGAACAUUUAGAGAGAUGCGAGGUAGAGAGAGAGAGAGAGAGAGAGUGAGAGAUAGAGAGAGAAGGUUAGACAGAGGGGGAGAGAGAGGGAAUGUGAGUGAGACAGAGACAGUCAGGGUGAGGGAGAACACCAAUCGGAGGGAAACACCGAGAGUGAGUGAUUCUGUGAGAGAGAGGAACCUUGCCAACGACCGUUUCGUUAAGUAUGACGAAGCGCCUACAAGAGCUAACGUAUAUGAGUGGCAAACUGUGAGCCAUAGGAAGCAUAGAGGUGCGGCCAAACAGACACAUGGCGGGAACGGACGUCGGCAGCAGUAUCACCGGAGAAACUGGAGGGAUGAUGCAGACAUUACCUCCUUUUAUUUCACCAAUUUCUCAGAGGAGGUAACCAAGAUGGAGCUAUGGAGCCACUUCAAUCAGUGGGGGGAAGUUAAAGAGGUCUUCAUCCCCAAUCGGAGGAACAAGGAGGGGAAGAGAUAUGGUUUUGUGCGUCUCAGAGGUGUAACAGACGUGCGAAAUGUAGAGAAAGCUCUCGACAAUAGCUUCAUCCGGGGGGUAAAACUUCAUGUUAAUACUCCCAAAUAUGGACGUGGAGAGAUGAUGAAGGUUCACAUUAAACAGAAGCCUAUGGGGGCAAAGACAGGCAAGGACGGACCGCCAUGUACGAACGAAGCUUCUCGCAAAGGUGUAGUGGGGACAUCAACCACAAAAUCAUAUGCAGAGGCAGUGAUGGCGCUGGGAAGGAAGUCAAAUUCUUCGACAAAGGAAGUCAACCAGUUCGGUAACAACACUAGCACCUGCUCCACGUUUUCGUUAGCCAUAUCUGUGGAAGAUAAGGCUCGAUACCAAAACGCCUGGGUCGGAAGGCUGAAGAACAUAGCAAUUUUUGAAAGAUUGGAAGAGGAAAUGGUGUGGAAUGUGGGUUCAGGCAUUUCGGCUAGUUACAUGGGCGAUGAUAUGGCCAUUCUCUUUGGUCUAUCAGAGAAAAAAGCGGCGGAUAUUAUUCGACAGGAGAAAGAACAGUCCUCCUCUCUGUUUUACUCCUUGACGAAGUGGUCUCCUCAACUGAGGGCCGAAACCAGACUUGUCUGGCUUCGAGUUUGGGGUAUCCCUCUCCUCGCGUGGAAGACGGACUUCAUGCGUAGGAUGGUGGCCGCAGUGGGUGACUUUGUUGACGUCGAUGACGACGUGGAACACAUGCAGCGCCUAGACCGUGCCAGGAUCCUGGUAAGGACGCCGCGACCGCCGCUCAUCCAGCACGUUGCGCAUGUCCUCAUUGACGGAGUCAGACAUCGCAUUGAUAUAGUUGAAGAAAACGGCGGAGGGGAGUUAGGCGAUACCCGCCAUGGGAGGAACCUAUGGAGUUCGUCUGAAGAAGUGCCUUCCGAUGUAGCAGACGACGACAUGGAUUCAGUCAUCUCGUGGCCGUCGGGAACAUUUCCGCCCAGGGACGCUGGGAUAUCUGCCGGCGACACUACCGCGGACUGCCGGGAUGCGCGAUCAUCACCUUUGCCCGUUGGGUGUUCGCGCGACGUGGACCCUGCGGUUAAUGACCUACCUGACAGGGUUUUGACCACUUUAUCUCCAUCGGGUUCUGUUGUUAGCCCAAGUAGGAAGCUUUUUGAAUUGGCCAUAGCUCCCCAGCCAACACAUCCUGCAACCAUUCACGAAUAUGUAGCGGACCCAGUACUCGAAUGUCAAAACCUUCCUCAUUUAUCCAAUACAGUUUCCACAUCUUCCCCCAAAGCAUUUUCAGAUGGCCCUUUUGAGGAGGGAGAUAUCCCCAGCCCUGGCCGAAUUUUAAAAAAUAAUUCCCACAUCAACGGUUCUCACACCCCACCUUUUGAAUCUUUUGAUAAACAGACCCACCACCUUAAUGGGCCUUGCACUCCUGUGGCCCAACAAACGGUUUCUCAUAGCCCCCACCAGAAACAGCAGAUGUUAUCUAGUGGCUUGCAGGUUUAUUCCAGAAGAAUGUGGUGUAAAAAGAAAAAAGCCCAUCAGGAGUUAGUCACUCACAAUAACUCUGCAUCGUCAAAGAAUCAAGAGGAAGCAGCCUUCGUGAGACAAUGUGAUCUCCUAAACCAAAUGGGAUUGACUUGCGGGGAGGACUUUCAGCAACUCAUGGGAAGCUUGGUUGACAUGGAGCAGAGAGAUUCUGACCUGGUAGCAGAGAAGGGACAUGACAGUUGUGCUAAUGAUAAUCUUAUCAUAUAAUUGUAGAGGCUUGGGGAGGGGGGUGAAGUGGGCUGCUAUCCGUAAGCUCAAUAUAAAACAUAAGGUGGAUUUAGUCUGUUUGCAGGAAACUAAGAAAGAGUCUGUUACUAAGAAUGCUUGUCAGUCUAUUUGGGGAGAUGCUAAUGUAUCCUGGGAUUUUGUUCCUUCNNNNNNNNNNNNNNNNNNNNNNNNNNNNNNNNNNNNNNNNNNNNNNNNNNNNNNNNNNNNNNNNNNNNNNNNNNNNNNNNNNNNNNNNNNNNNNNNNNNNAGGAGGGUGAAGGGUAUGAAUUUUUUGUUGUUGACAGGAAGAUGGACUAAGGACAACACGCUGGUGAACAUAGUGAAUGUGUAUGCUCCGUGUGAUAUAGCUGGGAAGAGAGAAUUGUGGGAUCAUUUGAAGCAGCUAAAAGCCUCUAACCCUGAGACUGCUUGGUGUUUCCUGGGGGAUUUCAAUAGUAUAAGAAGUAUGGAUGAAAGAAUUGGUUCCUCCCAGAGGUUUGUGGGUGUUCAUGACAGGGAUGGCUUCAAUGAAUGGAUAGCUGAUACAGACCUUCACGAAAUUAAAAGCUAUGGCAGUAUUUUCACUUGGUGUAGACCAAAUGGUUCUGCAAGGAGCAGACUUGAUAGAUGUCUGGUAUCUGCUCAGUGGUUCACUAAAUGGCCUGAUUCCUCUCAACAUGUGCUUAAUAGAGACUAUUCGGACCACUGUCCAAUCCUUUUGAAAACUGAUAUGCUGGAUUGGGGUCCCAGGCCUUUCAGAGUCAUGGAUUGCUGGAUGAAAAAUAAUCAGUAUAAAGCUCUGGUUAAGCAAGUGUGGAGUGGGGAAAUGCAAUCAGGCUGGGGGAGUAUCGUUUUGAAAAACAAGCUGAAGACCCUAAAAUCCAGUCUAAAAAGUUGGAGUAUUCAGUAUGGGGAUAGUCAUAAGAACAAAGUGGAUCAAUUGAAGCAGCAGCUGCACCAGUUUGAUUCUAUAGCUCAGGUCAGAACUCUGGGGGUUGAUGAAGUCAAGGCAAUGAAAUCCACUCAGCAGGAAUUGUGGGAGGUUUCUCUUGCUCAUGAAUCAAUUCUGAGGCAAAAAUCUAGAAUUAAAUGGCUCAAAGAGGGGGAUAGCAACACUGCAUUUUUUCACAAAUCCAUCAACUUCAGGAGACACUACAACGCAAUUCAAGGUAUCUUUGUUGAAGAUACAUGGGUCCAGCAACCAAACUUGAUUAAACAAGAAGCUGUUAAUUUCUUUAAUGCCAGAUUCACAGAGGAAAAAGUGGAUAGACCUACCUUGGAUGGGGUCCAAUUCAACACAAUUAAUUCAACUCAAAGGGAGGAUUUGACUGCACCUUUUUCAGAACCUGAAAUUAAGGAGGCUGUAUGGAGCUGCUGUGGAGAUAGAUGCCCUGGGCCCGAUGGUUUCAAUUUUAAUUUCAUUAAGGAGUUUUGGGGGGUCUUAAAACCAGAUUUUGGGAGGUUUGUGGAUGAGUUUCAUGCUAAUGGUAGCUUUCCUAAGGGUAGUAAUGCAUCCUUCCUGGCUUUAAUUCCAAAAACACAUCACCCACAGUCCUUUGAUGAUUACAGGCCCAUUUCCCUCAUUGGGUGUAUGUAUAAGAUCAUAGCUAAAUUACUGGCUAACAGGUUAAGGAGAGUGAUGCCUGCCCUCAUUGAUGAGAGACAAACUGCGUUCAUAAAGGAUAGACACAUCCUUCAUGGAAUUUUAAUCCUCAAUGAAGUUCUGGAGGAAGCUAAAAGAAGUAAGAAGCCAGCCCUGGUGUUUAAAGUGGAUUUUGCAAAGGCCUAUGACACUGUUUCAUGGUCCUUUUUGGAUUAUAUGAUGGAGCGAAUGGGAUUCUGCCUCAAAUGGAGGAGAUGGAUUAAGGCUUGCAACCAAUCAGCUACUAUUUCCAUUCUUAUAAAUGGCAGCCCCUCAAAAGAAUUUGCUCCAUCAAGGGGAUUGAGGCAAGGGGACCCUUUAGCCCCGUUACUCUUUAACAUUGUGGCUGAGGGUUUGAAUGGUAUGAUGAGGACAGCUCUGAACAAAGGCCUUUAUAGCAGCUACCUGGUAGGGAAGCAGAAGGUCCCAAUAAAUAUUCUGCAAUAUGCGGAUGAUACCAUUUUUGUGGGAGAAGCUACUUGGGACAACGUAAUUGUUAUGAAGACAAUGCUUAGAGGAUUUGAAUUGGCAUCAGGGCUGAAGAUCAACUUUUCCAAAAGCAGUGUUGGAAUUUUCGGGGCUCGCUCCAAUUGGGUUCAAGAGGCAGCUCGGUUCCUUAAUUGCAGAACCAUGGAGACCCCUUUUCUAUAUCUGGGGAUUCCUUUAGGGGCUAAGCAUUCUAGCUGGAUGGUGUGGGAACCUCUCAUCAAAAAAUUCGAAUCAAAGCUGUCCAAGUGGAAUCAGAGAUUUCUAUCUAUGGCUGGGAAGGUCUCUUUGAUUAACUCUGUCCUCAAUGCUCUUCCUAUAUAUCUCCUGUCUUUUUUCAAAAUUCCUCAUAAGGUGGUCCGAAGAGUGAUUUCCUUGCAAAGGAACUUUCUAUGGGGGGGGGGGGAUUCUGAACAUAAGAAAAUAGCAUGGGUAAAUUGGAACACUAUAUGCCUCCCCAAGGAGUUUGGAGGCCUUGGGAUCAAGGACAUUAAUAGAUUCAAUGCAGCCUUGUUGGGAAGAUGGAUUUGGGAUUUAUCUUCUAACCAAGAUCAGCUUUGGGUUCGAACUUUAUCAUCCAAGUACGGGGGCUGGACAGAUCUAAUCAAUGGCAGAGACAGGGCUUGGCAUUCUCAAUGGUGGAAGGACCUCAGAAAGUUAGUUAAGCAGCCUGAUUUUAGCCCUAUUACCCAGCACAUGGAAUGGAAGGUAGGGGAUGGGAGUUUAAUUAACUUCUGGAAGGACAAAUGGUUGGGGACUGGUUCUAACCUGGAUCAGCAGUUUAACCAGAUGUUCCUCAUCAGUAGACAGCAGAAUAGUAAGAUUUGUGAUAUGGGUAGCUUAUCCCACGGUACUUGGCGAUGGGACUUAAAAUGGAGAAGAAACCUCUUUGAUCAUGAACAUACAGAAGCUGUGACAUUUAUGGAGCUGAUCAGUAAUGUCCAGAUCCAACCUCAUGUGAAGGAUUCCUUGCGUUGGUCAGCAGAUCCUUCGGGGAUUUACUCUUCUAAGUCAGCCUACAGACUGCUAAUCUCUGUUAAUAGAGAUAUUCCUCAGCCAAAUAUCUACAACUUGUUUUGGAGACUUAACAUUCCCCCUAGAGCUGCAGUUUUCGCUUGGAGAAUUUUAAAAAACAGGUUACCCACUAGAUACAAUCUCUUAAAAAGAAAUAUAUCCAUCCAAGAUCAAACAUGCCCUUUAUGUAGAUCUCAUCAAGAGGAGGCUGGUCACCUGUUUUUCCAUUGUAAAGUCACUACUGUUUUAUGGUGGGAGUCUAUGAGUUGGAUUAAGUUGGCUGGCCCCUUAGCAGCAUCCCCAGCAGAUCAUUUCAUUCAAUUCUGUGAUGGUUUUGGAUCUGCCAUUAACCAAACUCGCCGACGUUGUUGGUGGAUUGCUUUAACUUCCACAAUAUGGCAGCAUAGGAAUUCUUUGGUCUUCCAAGGCAAGAGUUUCGAUCCUACAAAAGUGAUGGAAGAUUCCCUUUUCCUGUUGUGGUCUUGGUUGAAAACCAGAGACGGGCACUUUAAUGACUCCUUUAACUAUUGGUCGUCCAAUAUAGUGCGAUACUUUGGCUAAUGUAUUUCUUUAGUUAUGUUUGGGAAGGGUGUAUCUGAGUUUUCUCAGUUUUGUUUUGAUGGGCUUUUUUCCUAUGUCUUAAGAUGUAUCAACCACCAGCAGUACCUCUGGUGCUGCUUUGUUUCUUUGAAAUUAUAUAUAUAUAAUAUUUUGUGGCCUUUCAAAAAAAAAGAAAUAUAUUAAAAUACCAAUAAAUAACAUAAUAAUCAACAUUUAAACUCUAUAAUAUAGAAAUAUAGCAAAAACUAAAAAAUUAAAAACACCACUACAAAUGCAAAUCUGGUGGCUCCAAAACAGAGGAGAAUGGGAGAGAAUGUCAAGACCCAAAACAAAGCUGGGAAAAAACACCACUACAGAUGCAAAUUUGGUUGCACCAAAACAGAGGAGAAUGAGAGAACGUCAAGACUCAAAACACAGCUGGGAAAACACCAUCACAGAUCUGGUUGUGCGACACAAAUUGUGCCCUAGGUCUGUUCUGCAUAAAUCACAAUCCAAAAAUGCACACAACCAGUGUGGUUUUGGGCUAUAUUUUAAUGCCCAACUGAGCUCCUUGAAUCACCCCUAAACUCACGACAUGAGUUUGCACAAGCUUACUCAAAAACAAGUUUACAAACGAGUUAACCCAUUUCGUUGGUGUAGGAAUGUAAACUCAAACGAUUUUAUGAGUUGGCUCGCAAUUUUGAUAACCAUGCAAUCAACAGAAGAUCUAACAGUGAAUCUCUAAUUCUAAAAGAAAACUCACAAUUAUGAUCACAUUUAUGGUAUGUUUGAAUCAAAGGGAAGAAAAUACAGAUGACCAUAUAUUUUCUUUUGUUUAGUUGGGGGAAAAGUGAAAAUAAAAAGGAGAAAAGUUGAAUUCCAAAUACAAAAAUUAAAAAUUUUAUUUCCUUCCACAGUUCCACUUUCCCUUUAAUUCAAAUUUAAAUUUUCUGUCCUUCAUACCAAAAAGACCAUUAGUUUAAAAACAAUUUCAUGGUAAUUUAGUUUUAGCCCUGACUCUUUCCACUGACAUAUGCCAAGAUAAAUUCAUACACAACAUAAAAUCUUUAUAAAUAUGAAAAGAAGUGUGCUGCCUCAUAACUGACUCUGUUUCAUGCUAGUAUUUUCUAGUUAGUACUGAGUAGUCAAGAAAGGAAAUGGAACGGGAUGGCCCACUGCCAACAUCUUAACUCAUGUUUAGGAAAGAAAUCAACAUUUAUUCUGAGUAACUACUCUUUUUAUUGAACAUAGUUGUCGAUAGCACCAAAUUACAACGCUAUCGCUAAAUCGUGUCAUGGAACAGAUGGAGCAUGCUACGAAAAUUGAAUAGUGUCGCAAUUUGAAGUAACGGUCAUUGCAGCAGCAAUAGCCGACAAAAUCACAGCUGGCACGGGCAUUACUGAAGUGGGUCACAAAAAUCCCAUUUUAACCAUGAAGCGGCAUAAAGCAGCAUCGCCUAGGACUGUUUUAGAGGAUCGAUUUGGGAUUCCGACACCAUUGAAUCAGAGCUGAACCCUAAUUUCUCAUUCACUUGUGUGCCUCUGUUAGUCUGUUAUGAAGUAGGGCCAACUGUUCUCCUUUUCGACAUACACCCAUCCUUCCAUGCAACAUUUCCAGCAUUUCCCAACAUUUUCUUGCCAGCUGUGACAGUUGGUGACCCCCAACUUUGCACCCUUGGCUCUCCAUAGUUUUCGAUAAUUCAUGAGACCUUCGCGGGCAUUUUCUGGUGAACCUGUCACCAUUCCUGGCCAAUCGUGACAUGUUUGCUUCCUUGCUUUGUUCCGUCCCUGAGUUGUUCUGUUUCAUGAUCUCUUCAACACAGGUAUCUCAUCUCACUGUCUUGUGCUCUGUUCUAACUUCUAAGUUUAACCUUUAAUUUUUUUAAUUCUAAUUGGUUAGAACAGCAACCAUCCUCCAACCUGCUAUAAAAUUUUUAAGGUUGGUCGCUCCGUGCCACUAUGUGGGAUUGACAACUAUGACAGAAAUUAAAGCUAAAGAACAGGCUCUUAAACAGCAUAUUGAGUUUUCAUGGGCAAAAAGCUAGCAAUCUAUCAGAUAACCAUGCUUCUGCUGUCACCAAGGGGCAGGUACAUGAAUCUAGUCCCUACUUGUCUAAUUAGAGAAAGCCCACUUUUAUGCCUCUUUAUUGGCUCUUUCAAAUGAAUAUUUUUAGGGACAUUAUUCAAAAUAGUUUAGCAGAGAUGGAAACUUUGUAAUAGCCAAAAUUCUAAUUUACAUAAAAUUAUAUGAAAUAACAGACAGCCACUAAAAUUGGAAAUGUCAUCCAAAAUUAUCAUGCUUGUUGUUCCGACCUCAAGUCUACCAAGAUCGUUAGGGUAACCACAUCCAAGUUAUUGUCCACUUUGGUACUCGGUGGCCCAUCAUGGUUUUGUCCUUAUUAAAAUGCACCUCAAUGGAUUGAGGGAAGGGUUUUUAUAAACUACCUUUGGCCUUGACUCCUAAGUGAUGUAGGUCUUUUGGCAUACUGGAACAAGCCCCCCAGUCAAGGCUCAGGGGAAAGAGUGGCCUAGGCCAUAGAACUUGGAAUUCACCCAAUUCUAGACUUAAGCACCAUCUAGUCAGUACAUGAUUUCUAUUCCUCAAGCAAAUCUUAUACUUCAUCAUCUAGCUCUCUCGUUCAUUUGUCAGCAUGACAGAAAUCCACACCAAUAAGGACCAACACGGUUACUAAUAAAUUUUUAUUAUUAGUAACUAUCUGAUAGGGAAAGUGAUAGGGUGCAAACAGAACAAUCAGCAGAGGUCCAAGCAGAACAUACAAGGGUGCAGAUCAAGGAAAAGCCCAAUAGGAGAGUCACAAGACCAGCUUACCUUCGAGACUAUGCUUGAGGGCAGCUCGGGGAUUUCAUGUUCAGCAUAUGCAGCACCACCAAUAUCGUAUAUAGCUUGAUUUGGAAUUGUUCCCGAUAGCUAGACAAAUACGACAAAUACGACAAAUUCUGUUAGUGCAGAAUAUUAAAUUCUGUUAGUGCAGAAUAUUCUUGCAAGUAAUCCAAUCCUAUUCUGUUAGCAAGAAUUCUAUAAAUACCUAUGUAAAUAACCAAAUCAGGCAUGAAUGAAAAUAGCAAAGUUCCUCUCCUUUCUGCUUUUCUCUGUUCUUCUCCCCCCUUAUUUCUGGAGGUGCUGGCCUCGAACCCAGCAUUAUCACUU